GUAGAUUGAUUUUAAAAAGAUAAACUAAUUAAGAAAAUUGACAAUAAAUACAAUUUUGAAGGUAUACAUGAAUUGAUGAUAGUCAAUCAUAAAAGUAUAUCACUUUUAUCAUUGAUAAACAAUGAUAUUUGUGACUAUCAUUGACUACGAUUAGUGGUAGACUACGAUUAAUGGUAGACUAAUUUAUAGGUAAUCCUAUCAUCGAUAAAAAAAGUGAUAGAAGACUAUUACUAACUAUUAAUAAUUAAUGUAUGUCGCUUUUUUUUUAAUCACCAAAAGUGUAUUUGACUCACUAACAUGAGUACAAAUGUGUUGAUAUAGUAUAUCAACUCAUUGUUUGGCCACUACCAUUGUGACACUUUCAGAACCAACUUCGACAACCACUUUCACAGUACUCCCAAUUCCAACUAUCAACUUUGAGCUCCGACAAUCACCUCUGGUGUCCAACUUUGGCAACCAAUUUCAGGCUCCUACAAUCACUUCGAUGAUAAUUCCAGUGACCACUUUUGCAUGAACAACUUCAACGACCAAUUUUGCACCUUUAAUGACCACCUUUCGACGACCAACUCCACUAACCCCCUUCACACGACCAACUACAACAACUGAUUAUGGGCUUCAACAUCCAUCUUUGACGACCACUUUCGCGCAACCAAUUGAUCUGAUGAUCAAUUUCCAGCUCGACAACCACUUCUAAUAACAACUCUCUGACAACCAAUUUGACAACCAUCUUCAUGUGCCAAUCUCCAGACGGUCAAUUUCGGUCUCUAUUAUUUGUGAACAUAUAAAUAAACCCUAAAUACAACCCUUUUCUUUGUGCACAUUCAACACUCGUACGUUCUAUGAUUGUUAGAGUGUAAGGUUGAUAAUUAGAUAAAUAAUUCUACUUUGUCUACUUUAAGUCAACAACUAUAUGUAGAAUGAAUCACAUGUGAAAUGAGUGUCAAGAAUUUGAAAAAUUAUUUAUCGAAUAGAAUAGUUUUACAAAAGACGAACAAAAAACAAACAAAAACAAAAACUCAAAAUAAAAGCAACAAAUAACGCAAAAAAAGGAAGAAAAAAGAUCCAUAAAUUAUAUAUUUGUUUUCUAUAGAUAGCAUUUUCUAGCCAGAAAUUUUUUUAUAAAAAAUAAUGAUUUGUUAUUGGCUAAUCCUCCAAAUUUGAAGAAUUUGAAAGGGAGAUUCAAUUAAAAUAAUUAAUGACAAAAAAAAUAAAAUAAGAAAAUAAAAAUACAGAGUAAUGCUAAAAAUAAGAUUAAAAAUAAAUGAAAAAGAUUGUUAUCAUGUUUUAUUCACACGAGAGUAUAAUUAUUGAAUAAAAAAAGUUUAAAACAAAAAUAUAGUAACCAUAAAACACAAAUAAUUAGGAAGAUUUGUUAAACAAACUUCAAACGUUACCUUUAUAACAUAUGAACUCAAAGAUCUACACUCAAACACUGACAAAUAAGUUCAAACAAAACAAUUUUGCACUCCAAACUUGCAUAUAAACUCUUCAAACAUAUAUGAACUUUAGACAUUAGAUAUUCUAUAUAUUAUUUCUACUUUUACCAGUCAAAAACUGCUUUUAAUCAUUAAAAAUAAAUUUUAAUAUUUUGAAAAAGGUGGUUAAGAAGGUAUUUUCAGAAAAUGAUUCUAACUUAAAAGUAAAAAAAGUAAAAUAAAUAAAAAAAAGCUUUCAUGAUUCUAAAUUUCAAAGGAAAGUUUUAAAGUUUAACAAGUGUGCCUUUUCAUUUAUCCUCCAAACAAGUGCCUAAAGAAAUAAGAAAAUUUUCAUUUCUAGCCACAUCUCCAAAUGCUCUAAGUCACACUUCUUUGAGAGAAUUAAUAGUGCAUUUUCAAAAGAGAUUUCACAACGUUAAUUAUUCAAACAAUAGCACCAAAUCAUUCCGUUUUAAAUAUGUGAAUCAUUUCUCUACUAAUUUUCAAAUGAUCCUAAACAUCUUCCCACAUGUCUUUUCUAAUUUAAUCUUAGAAGUAAAAGAACAAUAAAAUAUUUUAAAACUAGAGAACAUUAAUGCUCUCUAGUUUUCAAUUUCUUUUAGAGAUGGUUAGUUAUAAGAGAAUCAACCUUAAUCUAAAAAUAAUGAUAUUUUAAAGUCUAAAAGUUAGAACAAAAUUAAAGAUGGCCUCCACACAAUUUCUAUAAACUUAGUCUAAAACAAUGUUUUAUCCGUUAUAUAUAUGCAAUCUAAUUUAUAGUUUUAAUUAGCUUGGUUAAUCUAGAAAUUUGAUGUGAAGAACACAUAUUUUGCAAUUAUAAUUAAGUUACAAUAAUAUAUUGUGUAAUUAUUAAGUUGAGGCAUGUGUAACUCUUUUGUUUCAAACUUGUUCAUAAUAUUACUUCUUAGAAAGAUUAAGGUUUUGGAAACUAUAAACGAAGAAAACAAGAAUCUGAAUGAGAAACAAAAUGAAAAAACCACUAAAUUACCAAAUGUCCCUUUGAAUUCAAACGACACAGUGAGAAGAAAAAGUCCACCGACUUAAAGGUUUCAAUGACGGAUGCCAUUGUGGGAAUUGGCAUUGCCAAUGUGUGUUGAUCAGAAGUACUUUCAGAAUUAUUUUUGUCUAUGUUUUAUCACAACCCAAAAGACAAGGAACAACCCUA
rnacentral:lncRNA from 1 species